GGCCGCCAUGUUCUCUGUGUGUCUUUGUCUUUUGUGUGUUCUUUCAUUCUCCACCACCCCCGGCAUGGACCCCAAGAAGUGGCGCAGUGAGCAGGGUCAGCACGGGGCCACAUAACAAGUCCCUAAACCAGCAUAUAUAAAUCCAUCUAUGCUUUGCCAUAGUUCCUGAAGACAUCCUUUGUACAAAGGGUCAUCACCAUCAUCUAUUCACUAGCGAAAACUGACCAAAAGAUGUCCAAGACACCUUGGAGUGCAAGGCUUUCUCAGUUAUCUCCUAAAGUGAAGAAUAACAACCACAUAAGGAACACAGGGCCUUUAUUUCUCUUGGAAAAUUGACAUUCCUAUGGACUAAUGAUAAAAAUGUUUCUGGAAAAUGUGUGUGAUACCCUUUUAGAGAUGCAGAUGAUUAAUCACAAUUUUAACUUCUUAUAAUGAUGAUUGGCACAGGAUAAGCAAAUAGAAAUCAAAUGUAGAAACCAAUAACACAUGUUCACUUAUUUAAUAUGGAACUUCCAUAUUCUUGAAUAUAAACCAGCACAUUAAUGAGCAAAAGUAUAAUAAAAUUGAAAGAACAUAAUCAGCUUUCUUUUAGGGUAGGAAGACAGCUAGUUAGGAUUCUUCCUCACUUAUCAAUUACAAGAGCCAUGAAACUAACAAGAAGAAACAAAUAUGCAAAAUCACUGAUAAUUGCAGUCAACAUUUUACAAGUACCUGGAAGGGGGAAAAAAACCCCUUUUUAGUUCUAUUGUGGUAGGGAUGAAUUAACUGUCUCUAUCUGACAUCUUUUUUGAUUUUUAAAACUAAAUAAAAUCAGUUAGAAAGCUAGUGGAAAGACACAUAUGUUGACUUCUACUCUGUAUCCCUAUCAAGGAUUCAUGGGAUCUUUGCCUCUAAGUAAAGCAGCAUAGCAGCCAUGGAUCUCACAUGGGAAAGUUCUUCCAGAUUAGAACAGAGAUAUCCCUUUCUCAUACCUCUACCUCACACUCUCUCGUCCCACAAAAUCUCAAUUUUGGGAAGGACUUUAAUAUUGAUGCUCUGAUGUCCCACCUAAGUACAAUUAAGAUGUAAAGGUUGUAAUAAUACAAUUAAUAAGGUAGAUGUAAUAAACAUGAAUGAAAACUUU